AAUGAACGUUGGCGGCAUGGAUUAGGCAUGCAAGUCGAGCGAGAAGAGUUUUGAAGCUUGCUUUAGAACUCGGACAGCGGCGAAAGGGAGAGUAACGCGUAGUUAUGUGCCCUAGGGUCCGGAAUAGCCACGGGAAACUGUGGGUAAUGCCGGAUAAUAUCCCCGGAUCAAAGGUGUGAUUCCGCCCUAGGAGCAGACUGCGUCCUACUAGCUAGUUGGUGGGGUAAUGGCCCACCAAGGCAAUGAUGGGUAGCGGGUGUGAGAGCAUGACCCGUCUCACUGGGACUGAGACACUGCCCAGACACCUACGGGUGGCUGCAGUCGAGAAUCUUCGGCAAUGGGCGAAAGCCUGACCGAGCGAUGCCGCGUGCGGGAUGAAGGCCCUCGGGUUGUAAACCGCUGUCGUAGGGGAGGAAGGUUCCGUGAAGAGCGGGACUUGACCUAUCCUAGGAGGAAGUACGGGCUAAGUUCGUGCCAGCAGCCGCGGUAAGAC
rnacentral:rRNA from 1 species